GUAAAGAGUAUUAUUGCCGUGAAACUGUCUUUACCUAACAGAACUAAAAGCUUGACAGCACUGAGUGUCUUUUACGAGGGAAGUUUGCUGCUGGAAUUGCUUCAGUUCUGCAUUGCGUGGAGUUCAACAUGAGGGAGAGUUUAAUCCAUGUCUGGAUGAUUUCAACCCAAGUGCAAAUGAUUCUGAUUUGGAUGAAUUUCCUCAAGAUUGUUGGCUCAACAAUGGAUGUGGCAGCCACAACUAUGCUGAGCCCUAGAGACAAUGAUGGGGCAAAAGAUAAUGUAUGUUGCUGCAUAAUUUUAUGAUGAAGAUG